rnacentral:misc_RNA from 1 species
GAUGAAGAACGCAGCGAAAUGCGAUAAGUAAUGUGAAUUGCAGAAUUCAGUGAAUCAUCGAAUCUUUGAACGCAUCUUGCGCUCCUUGGUAUUCUGAGGAGCAUGCCUGUUUGAGUGUCAUUAAAUUCUCAACUACACUGACUUUGAAUUGGUGUGGCUUGGAUUUGGGGGGAAAAUUGUUGUGGGCUUUUUGUAUAGUCUGCUCCCCUGAAAUUGAUUAGCGGUACCUUUGUGGAACUGUCUACAGGUGUGAUAAUUAUCUACAUCUUAGACAUCUGCUGGAAUGCUGCUUUCUAAACCUUACUUGUAUUGACAAUCUUGACCUCAAAUCAGGUAGGACUACCCGCUGAACGUAAGCAUAUCAAUAAGCGGAGGA